AGGCCUUCGGGUCGUAAAGCUCUGUUGUUAGGGAAGAACAAGUACCAGAGUAACUGCUGGUACCUUGACGGUACCUAACCAGAAAGCCACGGCUAACUACGUGCCAGCAGCCGCGGUAAUACGUAGGUGGCAAGCGUUGUCCGGAAUUAUUGGGCGUAAAGCGCGCGCAGGCGGUUCCUUAAGUCUGAUGUGAAAGCCCACGGCUCAACCGUGGAGGGUCAUUGGAAACUGGGGAACUUGAGUGCAGAAGAGGAAAGCGGAAUUCCACGUGUAGCGGUGAAAUGCGUAGAGAUGUGGAGGAACACCAGUGGCGAAGGCGGCUUUCUGGUCUGUAACUGACGCUGAGGCGCGAAAGCGUGGGGAGCAAACGGGAUUAGAUACCCUGGUAGUCCACGCCGUAAACGAUGAGUGCUAAGUGUUAGAGGGUUUCCGCCCUUUAGUGCUGCAGCUAACGCAUUAAGCACUCCGCCUGGGGAGUACGGUCGCAAGACUGAAACUCAAAGGAAUUGACGGGGGCCCGCACAAGCGGUGGAGCAUGUGGUUUAAUUCGAAGCAACGCGAAGAACCUUACCAGGUCUUGACAUCCUCUGACAACCCUAGAGAUAGGGCUUUCCCCUUCGGGGGACAGAGUGACAGGUGGUGCAUGGUUGUCGUCAGCUCGUGUCGUGAGAUGUUGGGUUAAGUCCCGCAACGAGCGCAACCCUUGAUCUUAGUUGCCAG
rnacentral:rRNA from 1 species